rnacentral:sRNA from 1 species
CAAUAAUAUUAAGAUAUGAAAGAGAGGGUCUUAAAAAGUAAAUUUUAGAAUUUCUAAGUACAAUUUAUUGCCUCAUUUAAUCCUUGACUAUGUAUUUGUGUGUGUGUGUGUGUGUGUGUGUGUGUGUGUGGUGUGUAUGUGUAUGCAAUUGAACCCAGGGCCUCACACAUACUAGCAAACACUCUACUAUUGA